GUAAGGUUAGUUAAAUGGACGAACGCGAACACAGGUUGUGGACCCUGGUUUUCAGACCGUAACGUUACAGACGUUGGGAUUGAUUACACAGUUAACUUGGUUAUUUUGCUAUUUAAGCUGCUUUGGUUUGGUAGUGUAAAGCAAAACUAAUUCUAACAUUUGGUUUUGGUUUAGGGGGCCAGCAGCAUACUGCUCGAUUUAUUCUAUUGAGGGGGGAGAAUGAUGAGCUGUUCACCGGGGUGAAAUACUCAGCAAGUGUGGCUUGGGGGUAAAGAAACAAUCGUUUAUUUAUAUCGACAAUUCUGGAGAAAAUAGGCCUGCAGGGGAAGGUGUCUCCCCCGCAGGCAAAGAAAAACUUUUGCUGAAAUUUGUUUUGAUACUGCUCUUGUUGUUAACUGCCAUGAUUGAUUUCCUCUGCCUUAGGAUUGCAAGUAUCCAGGGUCAGGAGAGGGGGUAGGUGGGAAACCCACUGCUGCCACUUGGCCCUGGUUUGUCCCCUUGGAUAAGGUAUUGUGACAUAUGCAUUCCACCAACCCCCCUGUCCUAAUUGCCUCCAUCCCUGAGAACACACCAGGGCCAAGUACAGCAAGUACAGCAGUGGUGGAUCAGGAGGUUGAGGACAAGAUCAGGAGGAGGAAAGACAGCGAGGGCCAAGGUCCAGAAAGAGGGACAGAGAGGAAGACAUGUUCCAGAGUCGCUCACUAUCUUCCGAAAAGGACUCAAGAUUCACCUGUUCAGAGUCCACCUCGACUGCAUAGCCACCCUCCCCCUUCUGGCAACCAUUGUACCCUGUGUUGUAUUGUAUUAUAGUACUUAACUGUGUAGCAACUGCAGUAGCUGCUAUCAUGGCUGUAACACGGGGAAUGGGUUAGCCUAGCGAUUGUGGUACUUGCACUUGGUUCUAUGAACAUCCUUUCUGUACCGACAGCGAUAUAUUGAUGCACUUCUUAUGACAAAUGUACUUAUUGUAAGUCGCUUUGGAUAAAAGCGUCUGCUAAAUGCCCUAAAUGUCAAAUGUCAAUGUUCCAGUUAAUAAAAGAGGACAUGAGGCUACAAA